UACAUGUGGGGCAAGCGUUGUUCGGAUUUACUGGGCGUAAAGGGCGCGUAGGCGGUCAGCACAAGUCAGUUGUGAAAUCUCCGGGCUUAACUCGGAAAGGUCAACUGAUACUGUGCGACUAGAGUGCAGAAGGGGCAACUGGAAUUCUCGGUGUAGCGGUGAAAUGCGUAGAUAUCGAGAGGAACACCUGCGGCGAAGGCGGGUUGCUGGGCUGACACUGACGCUGAUGCGCGAAAGCCAGGGGAGCGAACGGG
rnacentral:rRNA from 1 species